AUGGCAUUGUGGGUUUUAGAGUUACAAACUCUUACGUUACUUUUCUCUUCUCUUUGUUUCUUGUUUCUUCUGUUCUUUUUGGCAAGAAAACAUGCUUUCAAAGGGAAUGAGCGAAGGGUUUCGAUGGUUUUUUUGAUAUGCCUUAACCUAAGAACCCCAUGAAAAGCUGUUAUAAGUCGUAACAUAUGUUUACUUAGAGUUCAAAGAAGUGGAGAAGAACUUGCAGCAAAGGGUUUUUCAGAAGGUGAAAUCCAUGCAUGGAUGGUGUGUGGAAGAGAGAAGAGAUGGGGAAGAUCAUGACCAUGUUGACAGAAGAGAGAGAGCACAACCCGGCAUCAGCUAAAGAAAGUCUUUGCUUUUGUUGGGAGUGUGCUUUCUCUUCUUCUGUCACCAUCAUCUUUUCACCCCCUCUCUCAAAUAUUCCUAGUAUCAUGAUGCCCUUUCACAUCAAUAAGCUCUGCAGUAAAUUUUUCCUUGACCCUGUGAUCUCUUAAUAUUCUGUUAAGUAAAGUUUUUUACUGCUCUUAAAACUGAUCAGAGAAUGAACAAUUAAAAGGUGAUGGAUCUUAGAAUGUUUCAAUAUAGUCUUAUGAUCCUUCUUUGUAUCUUUGUUGAUAUGUUCUUUUAUGAUCAUCCGGUCAAUAACAAGACAAAUGAUAGAUCAAUCCCCGACAGAAGCCUAGAAAGAUACGGGAAUGGGGGUUCAUAGCUUUUUGAGAUGCUUAAUUUGAUGAUAUAAACCAUUGUUUUUGCUCUUAUAACUAUGUUCUACUACCUAGGAAGUCCAAUUAUGCUGAUGCCUCUGUGACAGAAAAAAAUGUUAUCUUCCUUGUUUUACUAGUAUUUCAGAAUUUAUAUUCUUCUGAUAUAUGAAUCUUUUGCUGAGUUACAAUGAUACUGACAGAUGAUCACAGAUGCAAAAUGUCCUUUGCACAUAACCAGUUUAAAGAGAAAAGGAAAAUUUGUUUAAUGAUAUAUAAUUGAUGAUCAAAGAUAUAUAGAAAAAUUAAAUUAACAUAGUGUAGGGUGAGAAAGUUUGUGACUUGUGAGUGCUCCACCUUGACCAGAAUAUAGGAAGAUUGACAGAAUAUGUGAUGGUUUGGAAUAGCUUUACACCACUGGUGAAGAAUCUCAGAUUUAUCUUUCUACGAAGAAAGCCUAUUUGGCUAUUUGUAUAGGUGUCAUGCAGACCCAGAAGCAUAUUGGAACCUUUACUCUUAAAUAAACAAUCCAGAAUUUGGAAACUUUCCUUUUCUCUACACUCGUUGAAUUGUUUGUAACACAUUGGAUCAGCAAUAUUCUUUGCACUAUCAUUGACAGAUAUUCUUUAUAUUAAAGGAAGAAAAGGAUGGUAGAUGCAUACCCCAUGAUGUAAUUUGUUUAAGCAUGACAUUGAAUGAUAUUCUGAACACCUUUCCUAUUUGUUUCUGCUGAUGGUUUUAUGUGAUGAGGGAUCAGAUGGGACAACAAUGAUGACCGCAAGCGAUUAGUAAAAACGAAAUGGAAGUCUACAAAGAUCAGUUCAGUAGAGAAUUAAGGAUGAUCCAGCAACUUGUGGACAAUAAGAUUCAAAAGCAUGAAUCAGUCCAAGUUAAUAAUAUGGAAGAUGAAUGCAGGGGGGUUGAAAUGGAAGGAAAACUGAAACAUGGAUCCAAGGGCUGAGAGUUUUCACUUGUCAUGUGGGAAACCUGGAACUGCCUUAACUUUAGCAGCUGAGAACUAUUCAGGAAGCAACUAUGAAACUUGAAUAUGAUAAGAGUUUGGACUCAAAUGUGGUCCCCCUGUUGCCCUGCUUGUAAAAUCUUUUUCUUUUUGGCAUGGUCUUGCCCUUUCCUCACAUCAAACAGAAGAGCUGAUACUUUGAAACUCUUUAGGAGAACUUUUAUGUAAAAGGGGUAACUAGAGUGUAUUGGGUUAAUUUAUUAAAUUAGAAUUUCUUUGUAAUUUGCACAUUGAUAUCUGCUUUUUUGCAGGCCCUUUUGCUUAGUUUGAAUGCACUUUCAUGGACAUGAUAAAUAAUGAAGAGAAGGCACUGGCAAAGCAAUCUAAAAAUAGCAGUUUAAAGCCUUCAAGGAAAAUGAUCUGUCUGGUGUUGGCAUGCUCUUGGCAGUUUGAUAUUCUCGUAGAUUCAAAGAGGAUGGUGAUGUUUGAUGAUUUACUGUGCUACAUAUGCUUGUUGCAGGUUGUGCCACAUUUUUUCUUUUCUUUUGUUUUCCCAAGUAUACAGUUAAACCAUCCUUUAAAAAUUGCAGUGGACAAGAGAGAAGGUAAAUGCCAAGCACCCCCGAAGGGGAGGCCGGCAGGGUGGCCGACAGCGAUGAGGGCAUGAAUGGUCAUGUAGGAGGAUCUGGAAAGCUUACAAUCAUGGACAUUACACACCCUAUCAAGGCCAUGUGACAAUGAAAAACUGAAAAAAAAUCUAAGCAAUCAUAUGAACUACUUAAGCCCAAAGAAAGAUCAGGGCCUCUCUUGCAA
rnacentral:sRNA from 10 species